rfam:Peptostreptococcus stomatis DSM 17678 contig00040, whole genome shotgun sequence.
CAAGUAUAGCAGGUGAUCGCAGGUAGAAAUACGUGAGGAAAGUCGGAGCUCCAUAGAGCAGGGUGCUAGGUAACGCCUAGUGAGAGCGAUCUUAAGGAUAGUGCAACAGAAAUAAACCGCCCUUAUAGGUAAGGAUGGAAAGGCGAGGUAAGAGCUCACCAGCAUAUAGGUGACUAUAUGGCUAUGUAAACCCCACCUGGUGCAAGGCCAAGAUAGGAAUAAGAGAUGUUGCUCGCAUCUCCCGGUAGGUAGGCCGCUUGAGCCUAUUGGUGACAAUAGGCCUAGAAAGAUGAUCAUCAAAUACAGAACUCCGCUUAUAGCUAUACUUAACAA